rnacentral:lncRNA from 1 species
GUAGGUUGUUGUCAUUUUUGUUAUUUGUCUUUUGUUGCAGUAUAUAUCAGGCUAUUGGUUUUCUCUUUUCAAUUGUUUUACAAACCACACUUUUUUUGGGGAGAUAUAUAAUAUUCAAAGAUAUUUUCUUUUGUUUACACACUGGUUCCCAGAUAUGAUGUCUGUUUCAACUCAUAAGGACAUAACAGGGGAAAGGUACCAGUAUAAAUACACAUAGAUAGUGGCUAAAUUGAGUUCUGAAGAAGACCCAAAGUCAAGGGAGGGGUAGUACAGAAUUUCUUUAAUCUCUUGGAAGUUCAGGGCAUGUAAAUGUUGAAAAUAUGCCGCACAGCCCUAAUUUAUUUUGACCUUUGAAAAAAGAGUAGUAUAAAGGAACUUUCCAUCUGGAAUAUAAUUUUUUUUUGAAACUUGAUAAUAAAAGUUGCAGUUUUAGCUGUAAGAGGAGUUACUUUGGCAAAUUGCCAUGUCUAUAUUUACAGAAGUGCAACUUUUUACGGUAUAGGUAUUUCUCAUUGUUAAAGGUUUUACGUGUGACCUGUAAUUGUUCACAGCUUCGUUUUCUGUUCAUAAUUGAUAGUUGUCUCAUUAGCAAUCAUGACUGCCACUAGAAAAUAG